CGGGAUAGGUCAGCUGGUUGAGCAGACACUGA
rnacentral:tRNA from 1 species